rnacentral:rRNA from 1 species
UACAGAGGUCUCAAGCGUUGUUCGGAUUCAUUGGGCGUAAAGGGUGUGUAGGUGGCGCGCUAAGUCGGGUGUGAAAUUUCGGAGCUUAACUCCGAAACUGCAUUCGAUACUGGCGUGCUUGAGGACUGGAGAGGAGACUGGAAUUCAUGGUGUAGCAGUGAAAUGCGUAGAUAUCUGGAGGAACACCGGUGGCGAAGGCGGCAUCCUGGACCGGUAUUGACACUGAGGCGCGAAAGCCAGGGAGCAA